UUUUAUAUGAUAUAAUAUACGUAAGCAGUAAGUUAAUGACGGUGGCUAAUCUCCAUGAAAGUGGGGUGAUGCCUAUGGUUAAUAAGUGUUGCCCUAGAAAGGGGAACAUGUUGUCAGUUUUUGAUGCGCUGAUGUUUGCGAUUAGUUUUGCAACACUGGUUAUCGAAAUUCUGAAAUUUAA
rnacentral:sRNA from 1 species